AACUUUGCGCAGCGGCAUUAUCGUAACCGAUGAGGUUCUACCGAGGUGCGAUUAUUGCUAGUUGAAAACUUUAACCAAUACCUCGCCUGGUGGACGUGAAAUACCGUCCGCCGUGGCAAUUUUUGAAAGCUCGAAGAGAG